AUGAACGCUGGCGGCGUGCCUAACACCUGCAAGUCGAGCGGCAGCGAGGGGUGCUUGCACCCUGUCGGCGAGCGGCGGACGGCUGAGUAACGCGUGGGAACGUGCCCCAAAGUGAGGAAUAACUGCCCGAAAGGGUAGCUAAUACCGCAUAUUAUCUUCGGAUCAAAGGAUUUAUCCGCUUUGGGAGCGGCUCGCGUCGGAUUAGGUAGUUGGUGAGGUAAUGGCUCACCAAGCCGGCGAUCCGUAGCUGGUCUGAGAGGAUGACCAGCCAGACUGGAACUGAGACACGGUCCAGACUCCUACGGGAGGCAGCAGUGAGGAAUCUUCCACAAUGGGCGAAAGCCUGAUGGAGCAACGCCGCGUGCAGGACGAAGGCCUUCGGGUUGUAAACUGCUUUUAUAAGUGAGGAAUAUGACGGUAACUUAUGAAUAAGGAUCGGCUAACUACGUG
rnacentral:rRNA from 1 species